rnacentral:lncRNA from 1 species
UUAACUGAUGAUAUGAAAACCUCUGACAGAGAUCAAUUCUUCGCAGACGGAAUUCACUGAAAUCAAUGACGUCAGCAUAGCAUCAGACUAUGAUGGACGUGGAUUAUCACUUCCCACCCAUUCUUUCAGUUUUGAUCCAUCAUUUAAACUAUUAACGAGCUGUUAAAAAGUGGUACAAGAUGGUACCCCAACUUUAUCAAUACUUUCAUCACUACAUAGUACACAGCAA